GCGGUUUGCGAGAUACGAGGGAUUGAAAACCGGUCGAAACUUUCCGACCAAAUUCCGGCCACCUCCGGCGGAAUUGGGGUCGACGGAGACCGGAUUGGUGAUCCUCGUUCCACGAGCUUCGAUUCGGAGCACCGGUGAGUCGUAGAAUUGAUCCCGUGGUGGAUCUUGGAUUAAUUGCGUGCUCCAGGUCCAGGUUGGAGACGUUGAUUGUCCGGGGCGAGCCCAACGUCUCAGUUCGUUGCCGAAGGUUCAAACAGUUUUUCUUCCCUUUUU